rnacentral:rRNA from 1 species
UACGUAGGGGGCUAGCGUUGUCCGGAAUCAUUGGGCGUAAAGCGCGUGUAGGCGGUCCGGUAAGUCCGCUGUGAAGGUCGGGGGCUCAACCCUCGAAUGCCGGUGGAUACUGUCGGGCCAGAGUACGGAAGAGGCGAGUGGAAUUCCUGGUGUAGCGGUGAAAUGCGCAGAUAUCAGGAGGAACACCAAUUGCGAAGGCAGCUCGCUGGGACGUAACUGACGCUGAGACGCGAAAGCGUGGGGAGCAAACAGG